rnacentral:rRNA from 1 species
UACAUGUGGGGCAAGCGUUGUUCGGAAUUACUGGGCGUAAAGCGCACGUAGGCGGCUUUGUAAGUUAGAGGUGAAAGCCCGGGGCUCAACUCCGGAACUGCCUUUAAGACUGCAUCGCUUGAAUCCAGGAGAGGUGAGUGGAAUUCCGAGUGUAGAGGUGAAAUUCGUAGAUAUUCGGAAGAACACCAGUGGCGAAGGCGGCUCACUGGACUGGUAUUGACGCUGAGGUGCGAAAGCGUGGGGAGCAAACAGG